GCCAGGCAUGGUGGCGGAUGCCUGUAAUCCCAGCUACUCGGGAGGCUGAGGCAGAGAAUUGCUUGAACCUGGGAGGCGGAGGUUGCAGUGAGCCGAGAUCGUGCCACUGCACUCUAGCCUAGGCAACAGAGCAAGACUCUGGCUCAU
rnacentral:SRP_RNA from 2 species